UGGGAUUGCUGACUGUUGAUUCCCAUGCCAGUGGAUAAAUGUUUAGGGGGACACCACUUCUGAGUGCUAUUUGCGCUUUCAGAGUGGCCCUCAACAUUCAAAGGAACUGUAGGCCAAGCCUCCUGAUGUAAGGACAAAGUUCCUUGUUAGUGUAGCUACCCCUCCCCCCGCCCCCCAGACCCAGAAGAGGCCCGCCUAAUUUCACACCUUGAAAAGAACAAAGAAAUAGAAAAGAUCCAAACUGCAAUCAUUCCCCAGAUCACUGAACAGAUCACUCUGAUUUAGAAGUUGUUGUUUUUUCCUCAGGUCACUCAUCCACUCCCAGCACAGCCUGGGGAGGGGAGGAUUAUACCUUCUGAGCUGAGAUGGCAGCUGUCUCAAACAGGGAGAUCAAAUCCCAACCUCAAGACCCACUGGCAAAUUAAGCCCUUCUUGCCGGCACAGCAGAUGAAUGGGCGACCCAGGAAAACUGCACUCAAAGAAACGUCUUGUAACAGUUCUAACUUUGGUUUGGCAUGUCACCUCUGUAACGAUAUCAGGGAGAGGAAAUAUUCCGUCAAAGCUGUGAGCAUGGAAGGAAACAGCCUGGAUGGUGUCCAAAGACACACAGUAUCUUAGCAACUUCUGAAGUUCAGAAAAGCCAACAUUUCAGUUUGGGAAGCCGUCUGGUAGAAGUUCCGUCCUACCCCACCACAAUCACUGAAAGACACACCUUAAGGUGGAAGUGGCCAUCGUUUUCAGGAUCUACUACCCAAGCUGCUGAAAUGAAGUGGCUGUCAGGGGCAGGCAGCUCUUGUCAAGAAAACAAAGCAAAACACUACUGCCAGAAACAUAUGAAAAUAGGGAUAACCAGGAGUCUAGAAAAGUUUUCCUAGCUUCCUUUGGAGCAAGGGACAGCCACGUGACACAAUUCUGACAAGAUAUAAAUAUGAUGCCUGGAGCUGCAACAGCUAUCUUGCUACAAUGAGGCAGCAAAACCAAGGGGUAAAAAACCCUAAAGCACCAAGAGGGGCAAAGCAGAGAAAAAGGAAGAGUUCAUGCCAUGGAUGUCAUCACCGAGCAGCAUCAUCAGUGCCAGUUUCUGUAAACCUUGGAUAUCCAGCUAGCUAUGUAAGGAAUAUAGAGCCUUGCAGUUUUGUAAACCACUGUUAGCAUUCUUAUGGUUGUUAGUUUAUGAUAACUUGUAGCUGAAUGCCUCCCUCAUUGAAGUGCUGUCUUGACUGGCCAUCCAGAAAAGGACUUUGGGCCCUCCUUGUGAGUUUCAGUUUUGAAGUACAUUUCAUUUAUCUUCCACUUCUUUCUGCCUAUUUUGGUCUUCCUGCAUGCCCUGACAUGGACAACUGGUUAGGGAAUGUGUCAUCUUUCUGCUGUCAGGACAAAGGUAAGGUGCAGCUGACCAGAGUUUGCAUGGCCAGAGGGACUCUCUUUUCUCUUUUCUUGGGAGCACUAUCAUUAAGAGUAGUUGCAAGGACUUCUGGGGGUAUGGAAACACAUGAAGUUAAAGUCACCAGGCACAUAAUUUUAGGUUGAUGUCAGUAAACAUAUGGGUGAGGAUGUGGACUUGGGAGUUGAAUGGACCCAUGUUUAAAUUCCAAAUCCCAACUACUGACCAGUGUGUAACUGUGGGCAAGUUACUCAACCUCUCUGAAUCUCCUUCCUUAAUUAUCAAUAGAAAAGUUAAGUCAUUGGGAAGAUUGGAUCAGACAUGAAAUGUGAAGUUCCUAUAUAUGGUAUGUCCUUAAUAAAUGGCUGACUUCAUUGUCCUUUGGGAAAGAUUUACAUUCAGGGGUACUUGUCAUUACAGAUCUUCAGGUGAACCCUCUUUUCACAGCACAAAUUUGACCAGUUUAGUUAAAUAACUUUUCAGAACUUAGCACCACAGCUUGCCUCCAUGAAGGGGAUUGAGGACUUUGGGCAUGAAAAGACAGGCUCAAGAGGAAUAAGCAACACAGAGUCAAAGCUGACCCACACUUGGCAAUACAGGGGUCAGAGACUUCAUUUUCAUUUUGGUGGUAAAAGAAGAAAAAAUAUAUACCUAAAGACAUAAUUAUAAAUCAAGGAUAACAAGAUUUCUCAGUCUUGGCACUAAUGACAUUCUGGGUUGGAUGAUUCUUCGUUGUGGGGGGCAGUGCUAUGCAUUAUAGGAUGCUUAGCAGUAUCUCUGGCCCCCUACUUACUAGAUGCCAGUAGUGUUCCCCAACUAUGACAACUAAAAAUGUCUUCUAGACACUGUCAAAUGUUCCUAGGGAUGUGGUGGGGGUGCACUGAGUUAGAGCAAAGAGCAAAAGAGUGAAAAAGAGUCUCCCUGGGUGAAUGUUACUGGGGUCGAUAAGCAAGUGGCCCCCAAUGCACUAUAACCCCGCACAGUGUAAAAAGUAGUAAAAGAAGAAAGAAAAAAAUUGUGCACAUCUUUGAGC